GAGGAGGAGCAAUGUCCUUAGCUUUCCUGAACAUAGGGAAGAAUGACCAGCAUAGCACUGAAUUUUAGGGUCCAAGAAAGGGAGCUUGUCAGCCUCCCUUUUUACCUUGAAACGAAUGAAAGGAGAGAGAGUUCUGCUCCGCCAGGAAGACCGGCCAUAAGGCCAGGGAGUAAAGACGUAAACAUAUUUCAGCCAAACAAAAGAAUGCAGGGAGAAGGAAGGGAGUAGGAGACUCGAAAUAUUCCACAGGACUGGGGAAGAGAACCCAACUCCGAAGGAAUAAGAAGUUAGCAAUAAGCUCCCUCUCUUGGACACACUAGUUUAUACCUCUACUGAGCACUUCUCUGUAUAAUUUUGCCAUAGCAUAUUUCUUUGCCUCAUGUGCCUUUUUUUUUCUUUUCUUUUUAGGUCUUUCGUGUUUUGACUUGGUUGGUCUGCAGGAAGCACGAUCUCUAGUUCCUCCUGGGAAGUUUUUUUUUUCUGUUCAUGACGGAAAGUGCGGUUUCUAAGGCCUGAAUUCUACACUUGUACUUGUGUAGAGAUUGAUAGGCAUCAUUAUUUUUGGGCGAACGGAUGGUUUAUCUUCGGAGGAUUGUGCUGUGGAGUCUUAAGUGUUUUGAAGUGUUUUUUUCCGGUAGCCUAUGAUGGCGAGAUUAACUGAAAGGCUGCACAAGUCAGCAUCAUUUGGAACAUCUACCUCUGCUACUUCGGGUAUGUCCCUGGUCUGCUGAUGUUAGACAGCUGGAUAUUUAUCAGCACAGCUAAUACCUUGAAGGAAAAGUCGUGUGGAAGGGCCAUUAUUUUUGUUGAUGCUUCUUCAGGGCUUAAUCAACUGGCUUCUCACCACAGGGAUAUAUGGAGACUGACAUCCAUCUGCUUCCAUGCGGACUUCCGACAUAAUUAUGUGGACUCGAUGUUAAUACAAAAAAAAA